rnacentral:lncRNA from 1 species
GUUGAUAUCCAGAGGAGCAAAGAGGGAGCUGUCCAAAGCUAUGAGCACGUGUGCCUGCCUGCUUGCUGACAUGUAUGCAUAUGUCUGGCCUCUUUGAGACUUGCUUGAAUUGUGACACACCACCUGGUUUAGAUCCUGUAAUGCCCUCUGACCUGUUGGAAGAAACUACUGAAACUUUCCAGGAAGAACCUUAUGAUCGCCUGUUGGCCAGAUUGGUUAAGGCCACUUGCUCUCAACGAGAGUUGUGAUGUUCUUUGAUAUGUAUAAUGGACAUUGUCUCAGUAGUAUGUGAGGCGGGUGUAAAAGAAUUAUACACUUCGUUGAUCGGUUGUCUAUAAUUUAAGUUUUGAAAAAGUGUGCUGCCUAGGAAGCACCCUUAUACCUUGAAGACAACCCCCCGACAUCCCUCCUUUAACCAGAUUGUGUCUCCUAGCCCCUGCUUUAUAAGGAUUCCAGAACCAGCCCCACCCCCUUGAGAUUCUGGGUGUUCUUUCGAAGGCCAUCUGCCUUGUUUCCACCAUGUGCCACUUACCUUUGAAACAGCUGCUCCGCAGUUAGAAUUUCCAGGCCCCAAGUUGGCGUUUCUGACCCAUUUGCAGCUGAAACACUGUUAAUGUUUGCAUUACGCUGGAUAACUCUGGAGGUUAAAAUCGAUUCGUGCAAAUAGAUGACUGAGUAAGCAAUAGAAACCUGACCUAGAAUAAUCUCACGGUUUGAUGUUGCAUAAACAUGUUUUAUAAUCUGUUUAACAGCAAACUUGAUACUUCCUGCAUGUGCCACCCAUAGCAUGCCCUUUGCUGGGAGACGAGAGAAAAAGGAAAACCAUGUUUUCCUUCUCAUUCAAAAUCAAGGAAAUUAAUAAACUGAGAAAAUCUGAUUGUCCUCAGUACUCUAUGUCUUUGUGCGUUUCUCUUCAUUCUGUAUUCUUUUUUCAUCUUCUUGUGCAGAGCUGGAGCAAAGGCAGCUCUCAUGGUUGGGAUGGUACAUUUAACCUCAGGUUUAUUAUUUUAAACACACUUGCUUGACUCUGAUCGGAGAUCAAAAUAAGCACUGCCAAGAAUGGGACAGACUGACAUUGUAGCUGCUUUGAUGUGACGUAUGGAGACAAACACAGCCACACUCCCAUGAUAUUUGUGGCAAAAUGCAAGUAGUACUAAUCAUAAGGCAACAUCAUACAAACCCAAGUUGAGGGAGAUUCUGCAAAAAACCCAGUAUGACAUCUUCAAAAACAUGGCAGUCAUGAAAGACAAAGGCAGAUUGAAGAAUCGUUUCAGAUUGGAGAAGAGGGAAGAGACAUCAAAAGUGAAUGUGACGCAUUCUCCUGGAUGGGAACCAGAAACAGAAGAAACAAAAUUGAGGAGUGCAUAAAAGAAAAAUGAGUGAAUGGAUUACAUGGUCAUACUGCAUAAAUGUCCACUUCCCGCUUUUGAUGGCCAAAGUAUGGUUAUUCCAUAGGAGAAUGUCGUGUCUUCUAGAAAAUUCACAUUGACACUUCACGUGGGGCUGGAGCACCAUGUCUGCAACUUUCAGUUGUUUCAGGAAGGUGGAUGAUAGAUGAUGGAUAGAGAGAGAGAGAGAGAGAGAAAGAUGGUAAAGAUAAAUACAGAAGUAAUGAUAAAGCCAAAGUGUCAGAAUGUUAGGAACUGGGGACCUUGGGUGAAAGAACUUGACAGUUCUUUGUAUUAUUCUUUCAACUUUUGUGUCUAAAUAUAUAUAAGGUAAAAAUAGGUAACAUUGAUCUAUUUACAUCUGUCUUACAUAUGUAUAUAAUUUACCUGGGCCCCUGAGGGCUACUGAAUUAGAAUAUAGGCAAGGGAGCUCCUAGAAAGCCCAGAGGUGAGGGUGGUACAGAGCCAGCGAGGCUCGGCUCCCCUUUAGCAAGGCCUCUCAGUUCUAGGAGCUCGGUGGCAGGUAGGUCUGGGGAGGAAGCGAUUCUGCUUCUUGUCCUGGCUUCUCUCUCACAUUCCAAGCCCACUGCCUGCUCUCUUCUCUCUCUUGCUACUUCCCAAGGUGUAAUUAUCUGACAAUGACUCAUCAAAGCUUCCCAAACUGUGUUUCUCAAAACACUAAUGUGUUCUCAGAAAACAAACGAAAACGAAAACAAAUAAUCCAUUUGGUUCUGACUCCAAUAAGUCUCUGUAGUAUUUUAUAUAGUGGCUCCUUCCUGGACAUUUAUAAAAGGUAUUCGUUUAUAAAUGCCUUGCAAAGGGCUACAUUUUGUGUAACUCAAUAUUUUGCAAACAUUUUUAGCCGCGUAAUGCCUUUUGUCCCACUUAACACCUCUCACAUAACACCCAGUGACACUUGUGUUUUUCCUGGUACUUAGUGGGAAAGGCCACGUGAAGCCUCUAGGAUACUGAUGGGAGCAGUGUGAAGGUAGUUGGCCUCAGGCAUGGCUCACUCAGGGCCUGGCUCAAUGCAUUUGUGAUUCUCGCAGCUCUGCCUUCUUGCAGGUGUCCACUUGUAUGGAAAGUGACUUCCCUCGUGAGAUUUCCAGAUGCUGUAAGCAGGAACUGAGGCUAAUGCUUGUGUCUUCACAGACAGGCAGAGAACAGCAGGUGUGCAUCUGGCGCAGACUACCCCUGAGCCAAUCACCAGAGCCAGGGAAUUGGGAUUGCCCUGUUAGCUGGGACCAGCCAGGGCUCACCCAUUCAUGCAUGGGGGCUACACAGUGGGCAGAGGGCGGGAUGGCUGCUGGGGUCGGGUAUCAGAAUGUGGAACUUCAGCCAGCAGAGGACUGGGAGUCUUGCAAUUGGCUCAGGUAACCCCCUCCCCACACAAGGCUCUCCAGACAAUCACCAGCUCCAGUUCUGCACCCAGUUAGCCUGUCCUGGGGUGAGGAGGCGGCCCUCUGUGUGCAGAAGGCAGGGAAGAGCCACCAGGUGACCCAGUGGCUGCUCAGUGGGAAAAGGAUUAGCAGUGAACUGAGUUGCCUUUUCCAUUUUUCCUUUUCUUCUUUGAGUCACAUGCUUUCCCACGAUGGGAUUUUUCUUUCUCUUUAGCCCUGCCCAGCAAGCCCGUCUCUGGGAUCACAGCUACAUUCACUUCUGAAAAGACUAGUGAACACAGAUUGCUUGCCAGUUCCCCAACUGGAGGCUGAAUUCCAAAAGUUAUUUUCUUUAAGCCUUAAUCUCAACCUUUUGCCUCAUGAUUUUCAAGUAAAAUCCUUCUCGUGGCAGGUGCUCACAAAAUGCUAAGAACUGAACAACGUGUCCUUAUUACACUUGCAGUAAUUCCCAGAUGGCACCCGUGGAUUCAAACGUUUGUAAGUCGCUUGACAUGGGUCUGCCCAGCUACAGCCAGGAGGAUGCCCGUGCUAGGUUAACACCGAAUGCAAACGAACAGAAAUCAGCACUGGCCGGAUUUUCCCUCCUUUCCUGUGAAGCAGAUAAUGCUGCAAGCACAGUGCUUUCCGAGGGCUGCAGCUGACUUGGAAGGGGGGGCAUCUCUCCUUCAUCACCCCAAGUAGACAAGAGCCGGAGUCUCCUGGAAGCCUCGGGAAAUGCCCAGGCCUGUGCCAGAGCAGGUGUCCAAUUUCAUAUCCAGUCUUCUUCCUUCUCCUUCCCGCAAACACCGCCCCAGAGGAAAAGACCCCCAAAAUUGAUGAAAAUUAAUGUAACAAGUUGCUCCUAGAGCUCUUCUCCAAUUGCCAUUCCUGAAAUUACCAGCCCCUUGUUUUUAGGUUACUGCCUAAUUCAUUUGAUAUAUUAUAAUAUGAUGAGGUGCAUUAUCAUACACAGAGACGCUUUAGUUAAUUUAUGUAUUUAUUUGUUUUUUAGGGCUGUGGCCAUGGCAUAUGGAUUCCUAGGCUGCGGGUCAAAUCAAAACUACAGCUGCUGGCCUACACCGCAGCCACAGCCACACAGGAUCCGAGCUGCGUCUGCAACCUACACUACAGCUCACGGCAAUGCCAGCUCUUUAACCCACUGAGUGAGGCCAGAGAUUGAACCCCUAGGCAAGUUUGUUACUGCCCAGCCACAGCGGGAACUCCCAGAGGCACAUUAUUUUAAUUGAAGUUUAGCUGAUUUACAGUGUCAUAUUAAUUUCCAGCAUACAGCACAGCGAAUCAGUUAUAAAUGUAGAUACAUAUAGGCUUUAUCCUAUUAUUUUCCACUGUGGUUUAUUGUAAGAUACUGAAUAGAGUUCUCCGUGCUAUACAAUAGGAUCUUGCUGUUGACCUAUUUUAUGUGUAGUGGUUUGUACCUGCCCAUCCCAAAUUCCUAAUUUAUCCCUACCUUCCCCCUUCAGUAACCAUAAGUUUGUUCUCUAUGUCUGUGAGUGUGUUUCUGACUUGUAAAUAAGUUCAUUUGUAUCCUUUUUUUAGAUUCCACACAUAAGUGAUAUGUAUUUGUCUUUGUCUGACUGAUGUCACUUAAUAUGAUGAUCUCUAGGUCCAUCCAUGUCACUACGAAUGGCAUUAGUUCAUUCUUUUUUAUGACUGAAUACUAUUCCAUUCACACACACACACACACUUUUUUUUUUUUUGCCAAAACUGUGGCAUGCCAAAGUUCCCCAGCCAGGGAUUGUACCUGGGCCACAGCAGUGACCCAAGCCAUAGCAGUGACAGUGCCAGAUCCUUAACCCACCACACCACCAGAGAACCCCUGACACACACACAUCUUUAAUACAAGGGCUUCAAUGCCUCGAUUCAAAAUAGUGACCAGAGGUGAGGAACUUAGGCCUUCUGCUCACCAUCAAGUACGUGCUAUCUUUUCAGUCAACCCUAGGGAUGAACUGAGUUUAAAUUGCAUCCCUGUGGGACACAGGUGAGCUCUGAAAGCCCACUGCUUGUCAAAUAUCUGCCUCAGAGAAAGUUUCUUAAGGUUCGAAACUCAUCAAGGCUGUCUUAGAUGGGAGUCUCCUCUGUUCCCUGAACUUCUGCCUGGAACAGCUCAGCAGGUAGAGGCCAGGGGGUCUCAGAGCCUUAGCGUAGGAGAGGGUCCUGAACCUCCCCUCCUCUCUUCCAAACUACAGCGUCCUCGCCAAGUGAUGAGUAACCUCUUCUGAGCUAACCUCCACCUGGAAUCGUCAUUGAGCUGCUCACUUCCUUUAUUUUCACAUACGCCCUUCAUUACCUGAAACAAAUACAUCUCUCAUCCUUGAGCCCACAAGAAUCUAAGCGCUCUCAGGUUUUACAAGGCUUCUUCAGGCUAACCUUCUGCCAACACUUAAAUUCCCUUUCUGAAAGGGCCCCCAGUUGCUGCAGUGUCUCUGCCUUGCUCCCCCUGGCUCUGCCCCCCGCCCCCCGUCGUCUUUCUAAAGUUCAUAGUCCUACCUCCUCGCCCCUAACAGCCAGCUUCACAAAUACAGUGCAUCCUGAACGUGAAUUCCGCAUCUUCAGCGUAAGUAGAAUGUUUUUAGGAAAUCAAACACGUAGCUUGUUUCCUUUGUAAAAAUGACCAGAAUAAAGAGCUCUCUACCUAAUCAGUCCCCUGGCUCCCAAGGAAUGUUAGAACCAAACUUGUGAAAAAUGAACUAAAAUGAGGGACCAUCUGUAGGCUUUUGUGUUGAGGUCUUCUGUUGGCCGCCUGACCGCUCCACUCCAUCGGGUGAGAUAAUCAAACGUAUUGGCUCUUAUUUCAAUUUCCUUAGCUAGUAUUUGGAAAAUAAGCAGCUGAAAGAAAAUGUAAAUAUCCUUAUGUGUACUGCUCUUUUGGCUGCAAGUAAUAGAAAACCUACCAGUUGCAUAAACCCUAGGGUAGUGUUGGCUGCAGUUAUCUAAAGCUGCAUAAAAGAUGUAUGCUUUUGUUUUUGUUUUUUUCCACUCAAGGUUAGCAUCUGUAAUUCUUCCUCCACAGUUCUGCUUGGCAUUUUCACAUAACUGUUGAAGACUGAAAGUUCUGAAAACGUGGAGCCACCAGCCGACUUCCCUUUCCGUCUCAUUAGUCGGGGUGGAGGCACAAGGCCAGCUGAGCUACGAGGGAAACAAGGAAGUGAGUUUCUGGCAACGGGAGGUGGGACGGUCGUGACCAGGCAAAGCGGCUGCUUCAGUGUCCCCGGAACGUUGAAAAAUAAGAGUUUUAUUUCCUUGUAAAAGUUAAUAGAUAAUCAUGAAGAAAGUUU